rnacentral:rRNA from 1 species
UACAGAGGGUGCGAGCGUUAAUCGGAAUUACUGGGCGUAAAGCGCACGUAGGCGGAUUGUUAAGUCGGGGGUGAAAUCCUGGAGCUCAACUCCAGAACUGCCUUCGAUACUGGCGAUCUCGAGUCCGGGAGAGGUGAGUGGAACUGCGAGUGUAGAGGUGAAAUUCGUAGAUAUUCGCAAGAACACCAGUGGCGAAGGCGGCUCACUGGCCCGGUACUGACGCUGAGGUGCGAAAGCGUGGGGAGCAAACAGG